ensembl:snoRNA SNORD14 Small nucleolar RNA SNORD14
UUGCUAUGAUGAAAGUGACUCCAAAAACCAUUCGUAGUUUCCACCAGAAGUCGAAAGACUUAUGUUGGCUUAAAGUACCUUCCUUGGAUGUCUGAGCGA